UAGUUUUAGUAAAACUGGGCCAAUAUUUAACCAUUUCUGGCACAAAUAACAGUGAAUCUGCUGGGAGGCCAUGCCCUAUCUUGUAAAGUGACACCAUUUUUUUUCUUCUAUUACAAUAGGUUUUGAACAACCUUUGCCAAAAAUGUGCAACCUUUGUAUGCCAAAAAUUGGUUACAUGGUUUAAAAAAAAUCCCCCAUAGACUUUUGUUAGAUAUACCUUUAAGAUCAACAUGUGCCAUUUUAAUGUCUAUAAUCCAGACAGAAAUAAUAACAAAUGCAAAUUUUUGUGUCAAAUGCCUUCAACAAUUUCAACCACUUUAAGUGCGUGUCAAAAUAAUUAUUCUUACUCCGUGCCAAGAAUUAGCUGCUCUUCUUGUCUCACAGCAGGAAUAAUAAAAAGAUCGUUUUUGUUCCCCUUUAAUCCCACCUAUUAUAGAAACUUGCGUCCUCUCUCACGCAACUGGUAAAGUAGUUUCAGGCUCAAAACCAAGUCGUUGUUUUUUUCACAACCAUUAACAAGUAUGACAUAACCCUGUUUUUAUUACAACAGCAAUGCUGUAAUUUCUCUCACUGAUCCCCAGAUGAGAAAUCCAUAAAUUAGACAAUACGAUGCAGAUUGAAUGGGUUUUUGACAGAACUCAAAAGAGCAAUGAAGUCUAUCAAAUAUUUAUAAUGGGAAACUUGAACUAUGUGUCUGCAUACACAAAUAAGAAUGUGCCAUAUUGCUGUUUCCUGACACGCUAUUGAUUCAUCCUGCUGUUCCCUGCAGAACUGACCUCACAGAAAGAAGGAUAUUUAUACUAACAAUUGGCAACAGAUGAUGCUCCAAAGACUGAAUCAAUGAACACAGUCUGUGACUUCUAAGACAGGAGUACAGUGAAAGGUGACACCAGAAGAGAGAUAAUCGGUCUACCACCAUUCACAGUGUUCUACCUCCCUGUAGAAUGAAAAGGUUACAGAGAAAGCUCAGUAAUGUCUCCAAUUCAGGUAGUUGAUGAAGCACCAAUUUUGUUUUUAAUCCAAUAUUACAUGUCAUGUCAGAAGCAGAAGACUUGCCAAAACUAUCACCCAUGCAGGUAUCACUAUCCAUCUGGCUGUACAUAAAGAAGUUUUACAGAAAAAAAGCUCCUCCUAAAACGAUCUCUUCCAGGAAUAUAUCUACUUAUCUACUCAAGUUCACUUUCUAUUAAAAUUAUAUUCAAGUUGAAUUCUUAGAAGAAAUGUUAUCUUCCGUUGCAGUCAUCCACAGUUCUAGCCAUGGAAAAGAUUCUUCCAGUUCCAGUUUCUUCAGUGGAUUGACUUUUUAUUCAGAUAUUAUUAACAUUACUCAAAAGAAUAAGAAAGAUUAUUGUCAACAGCAGUUUAUAUAACCUAUCCUGCAUCCUGAUUGGUUAAUAUGGAUUAGUAGCAUGUUAGGCUACACUAUACCUGUAUUGAACCUGUAUUUCAAGUUUUUUCUUUGACAUAUGUUAUUAUAUUUAUUUUACUGCUUAGAUCUAAGUAAAAGAAGAUAAGCAUAAUACUCGCGUCUUGUCUCUAAUAAAAUCUAUAUUUUCCUUCACCAAGGGUAGGGAAAUCUUCAAUUAUCUAAUUAUCUCUUUGGAGAAACCCUGUUUAGGUUUG